AGUGAACGCUGGCGGUAGGCCUAACACAUGCAAGUCGAACGGCAGCACAGUAAGAUCUUGCUCUUACGGGUGGCGAGUGGCGGACGGGUGAGGAAUACAUCGGAAUCUACUUUUUCGUGGGGGAUAACGUAGGGAAACUUACGCUAAUACCGCAUACGACCUACGGGUGAAAGCAGGGGAUCUUCGGACCUUGCGCGAUUGAAUGAGCCGAUGUCGGAUUAGCUAGUUGGCGGGGUAAAGGCCCACCAAGGCGAGGAUCCGUAGCUGGUCGGAGAGGAUGAUCAGCCACACUGGAGCGUAGACACGGUCCAGACUCCUACGGGAGGCAGCAGUGGGGAAUAUGGGACAAUGGGCGCAAGCCUGAUCCAGCCAGACCGCGUGGGUGAAGAAGGCCUUCGGGUUGUAAAGCCCUUUUGUUGGGAAAGAAAAGCAGCAGGUUAAUACCCCGCUGUUCUGACGGUACCCAAAGAAUAAGCACCGGCUAACUUCGUG
rnacentral:rRNA from 1 species